rnacentral:rRNA from 1 species
UACGGGGGGUGCAAGCGUUGUUCGGAUUUACUGGGCGUAAAGGGCGCGUAGGCGGCUCGGCACGUCCGUUGUGAAAUCGCCCGGCUCAACUGGGCGGGGUCGGCGGAUACGGCCGAGCUGGAGCAAGCUAGGGGGUAAUGGAAUUCCCGGUGUAGUGGUGGAAUGCGUAGAUAUCGGGAGGAACACCAGUGGCGAAGGCGGUUACCUGGAGCUUUGCUGACGCUGAUGCGCGAAAGCGUGGGGAGCGAUCCGG